rnacentral:rRNA from 1 species
AGUGAACGCUGGCGGUAGGCCUAACACACGCAAGUCGAACGGCAGCACAGUAAGAGCUUGCUCUUACGGGUGGCGAGUGGCGGACGGGUGAGGAAUACAUCGGAAUCUACUUUUUCGUGGGGGAUAACGUAGGGAAACUUACGCUAAUACCGCAUACGACCUACGGGUGAAAGCAGGGGAUCUUCGGACCUUGCGCGAUUGAAUGAGCCGAUGUCGGAUUAGCUAGUUGGCGGGGUAAAGGCCCACCAAGGCGACGAUCCGUAGCUGGUCUGAGAGGAUGAUCAGCCACACUGGAACUGAGACACGGUACAGACUCCUACGGGAGGCAGCAGUGGGGAAUAUUGGACAAUGGGCGCAAGCCUGAUCCAGCCAUACCGCGUGGGUGAAGAAGGCCUUCGGGUUGUAAAGCCCUUUUGUUGGGAAAGAAAAGCAGCAGGUUAAUACCCCGCUGUUCUGACGGUACCCAAAGAAUAAGCACCGGCUAACUUCGUG